rnacentral:lncRNA from 1 species
ACGUGAGAGGAGACUUCCGGCCACUGCGUUGUAGUCGGCCCGGCUGCAAAGCGUUUUUCUGCAGGCUGUUUUCCCAGGUUCCCUCGGCCUGUACCUCGCGCACUCCUCUUGCUCCAGGUCCUUCAGUCUCCGCUCGUCUCACCGUAGGCUGUGACGACAUGAGCAACAAAGAAGGAUCAGGAGGGUUCAGGAAAAGGAAGCAUGACAAUUUCCCACAUAACCAAAGAAGAGAAGGGAAGGAUGUUAAUUCAUCUUCACCCGUGAUGUUGGCCUUUAAAUCAUUUCAGCAGGAACUUGAUGCAAGGCAUGACAAAUAUGAGAGACUUGUGAAACUUAGUCGGGAUAUAACUGUUGAAAGUAAAAGGACAAUUUUUCUCCUCCAUAGGAUUACAAGUGCUCCUGAUAUGGAAGAUAUAUUGACUGAAUCAGAAAUUAAAUUGGAUGGUGUCAGACAAAAGAUAUUCCAGGUAGCCCAAGAGCUAUCAGGGGAAGAUAUGCAUCAGUUCCAUCGAGCCAUUACUACAGGACUACAGGAAUAUGUGGAAGCUGUCUCUUUUCAACACUUCAUCAAAACACGAUCAUUAAUUAGUAUGGAUGAAAUUAAUAAACAAUUGAUAUUUACGACUGAAGACAAUGGGAAAGAAAAUAAAACUAAGUUUACAGGCAAGAUCCUACUCACAGAGGCUCUUGGGAUCAAGGCUGACAGAAGCUCCAUCUGAAGACUUUUAUACUAUAGAGGCAGAAAAAGAGUGAUGAAUCAAGCACUGGCUUCUAAAGCUUCCGCCCAGAUGGGAAGCAUAUCUCCUCUGCUCACAUUUCCCUGACCAAAGCCAGUCACAUGGCCAUCCUCAGCUUCAGAGAGGUUGGGAAGGCAUUCCCACUAUGUGUCUGGAUGCCAGCAACUCAGAAAUAUUUGCCUUACAGAGACCUCACCAUUAACAGCAUCUGCAAGAGAAGAUUAAAGCACACGAUUACUUUACUCACUGUGUAACACAUGAGGAACAUGGACGAGAUGGGAAAAAGGCAGCCGGGAUUGCUUACCACCUGCAGCGUGCUUUCGGAGGCGGCGGCUGGCACGGAGGCCGGGCUACAUGAGAAGCUCGACAGGGCCUGGGAUCGGGUUCCUUUCCCCAGCAGUGGGCACACUGUUCCGGUUCCCAGGAGGGGUGUCUGGCGAGGAGUCCCACCACUCGGAGUCCAGGGCCAGACAGUGUGGCCUUGACUCGAGAGGCCUCUUGGUCCGGAGCCCUGUUUCCAAGAGUGCAGCAGCCCCUACUGUGACCUCUGUGAGAGGAACCUCGGCGCACUUUGGGAUUCAGCUCAGAGGUGGCACCAGAUUGCCUGACAGGCUUAGCUGGCCGUGUGGCCCUGGGAGUGCUGGGUGGCAGCAAGAGUUUGCAGCCAUGGAUAGUUCUGAGACCCUGGACGCCAGCUGGGAGGCAGCCUGCAGCGAUGGAGCAAGGCGUGUCCGGGCAGCAGGCUCUCUGCCAUCAGCAGAGUUGAGUAGCAACAGCUGCAGCCCUGGCUGUGGCCCUGAGGUCCCCCCAACCCCUCCUGGCUCUCACAGUGCCUUUACCUCAAGCUUUAGCUUUAUUCGGCUCUCGCUUGGCUCUGCCGGGGAACGUGGAGAAGCAGAAGGCUGCCCACCAUCCAGAGAGGCUGAGUCCCAUUGCCAGAGCCCCCAGGAGAUGGGAGCCAAAGCUGCCAGCUUGGACGGGCCUCACGAGGACCCGCGAUGUCUCUCUCGGCCCUUCAGUCUCUUGGCUACACGGGUCUCUGCAGACUUGGCCCAGGCCGCAAGGAACAGCUCCAGGCCAGAGCGUGACAUGCAUUCUUUACCAGACAUGGACCCUGGCUCCUCCAGUUCUCUGGAUCCCUCACUGGCUGGCUGUGGUGGUGAUGGGAGCAGCGGCUCAGGGGAUGCCCACUCUUGGGACACCCUGCUCAGGAAAUGGGAGCCAGUGCUGCGGGACUGCCUGCUGAGAAACCGGAGGCAGAUGGAGGUAAUAUCCUUAAGAUUAAAACUUCAGAAACUUCAGGAAGAUGCAGUUGAGAAUGAUGAUUAUGAUAAAGGUGAGUUUUAAUUUGUUUAUUGAUUGUUUUGUCAUCAUGUCCCAAUUUUCUUUCCAUCUUUACUCAUAUCUACCUUUUGAAUCCCAAAAGAAUUGUACAAUCUGUUCCUCUGAUCAUCUCUACCAGGGAAUAGUUGACUCUUUUACAGCAUUAUUGUUUUGUAGAUUUCAAAGUACUUCAUGAACAUUAAUCCUUUGGGUUAUAAAUAUAACCUUAUCAAUUGUCCAGAAACACUUAGCAUACUCACACAAUAAAAAUUAUAUUAGCUUGCCACCUGUCUGCCCAUGGUGUGAUGUAUCUAUAAUCCACUUGUUCAUAAAAAAUAUUCGUCUGACACCUAUGAUAUGCUAGGGAAUAUGGGAGACAAUAGGAAAGUAAGACAGACAUGGUAUCUGCCCUUGUGAUGCCAGUAAACUUAAGCCUUCAUGGGGCUCUCUGACUUCAUAAUUUCCAGAACCAGAGAUAGGAAAUGAGGUGAAUUUGAGAAAUGUCAGACUGUGCCAAAGGGGGUCACAUGCAUCAAAUUUCCACAUACAU